CAGCAGCCGCGGGAAUAUGUAGGUGGCAAGCGUUGUCCGGAUUUAUUGGGCGUAAAGCGAGCGCAGGCGGUUCCUUAAGUCUGAUGUGAAAGCCCACGGCUCAACCGUGGAAGGUCAUUGGAAACUGGGGAACUUGAGUGCAGAAGAGGAGAGUGGAAUUCCAUGUGUAGCGGUGAAAUGCGUAGAUAUAUGGAGGAACACCAGUGGCGAAGGCGACUCUCUGGUCUGUAACUGACGCUGAGGCUCGAAAGCGUGGGGAGCAAACAGGAUUAGAUACCCCGGUAGUCCCUGUCUCUUAUAC
rnacentral:rRNA from 1 species